UACAGAGGUCUCAAGCGUUGUUCGGAUUCAUUGGGCGUAAAGGGUGCGUAGGCGGCGCGGUAAGUCGGGUGUGAAAUCUCGGAGCUUAACUCCGAAACUGCAUUCGAUACUGCCGUGCUUGAGGACUGGAGAGGAGACUGGAAUUCCUGGUGUAGCGGUGAAAUGCGCAGAUAUCGGGAAGAACACCCGUGGCGAAGGCGGCUCUCUGGGACGGUACUGACGCUGAGACGCGAAAGCGUGGGGAGCGAACAGG
rnacentral:rRNA from 1 species